rnacentral:tRNA from 1 species
GGGCCUCUAGCUCAUGCCUGGUUAGAGUCACGAACUCAUAACUUAUGGGUGCCGCGUUCGAUUCGCGGGAUGCCCAUCA